CGGUUUCAAUUUGUUGUGGACAGAUAAAGUGAAUGUGCGCAUCAAUUCCUCCAGCCGUCACAAUUUUUCCUUCCGCAGCAAUAAUUUCUGUACUAGCCCCAAUAACAAGAUCAACAUCAUCCAUUAAUAAUGGAUUUCCCGCUUUUCCAAUGGUUUGAAUCAUGCCAUCUUUUACACCAAUAUCUGCUUUGUAUAUCCCCGUAUAAUCCAUGAUGAUGGCAUUCGUAAAAACAAGAUCUGCUGCUUCACUUCUUGUCGCAAGAGGAUGCUGUCCCAUCCCAUCACGG
rnacentral:sRNA from 1 species